CUCAGGAUAGUUCAGCUGGUUGAGCAGAGGACUGAAAAUCCUCAAAUCACUAGUUCAAAUCUGGUUCCUGACA